UGGGGCGUGGCGAAGUGGUCUAACGCACCGGAUUUUGAUUCCGGCAUUCGAAGGUUCAAAUCCUUCCGCCCCAGCCA
rnacentral:tRNA from 1 species